GGUUCUAUGGUGUAAUGGUUAGCACCCUGGACUCUGAAUCCAGAGAUCUGAGUUCAAGGCUCAGUAGAACUA
rnacentral:tRNA from 1 species